rnacentral:lncRNA from 1 species
AAAAAAUGGUUGAAAAUCAGUUGAUGUGGCCAACGAUAGGAAAUCCCUAAGGAAAGCAAUAGAGUUAUACAACGUAGAUGCAGUGACAGCAUUGGCUACGCAAAUGAAAGUUCUUACAAUGAAAAUGGACAAUUUAUCUAAGUCAAUUAACAUGGUACUCCAAUUACUACCUAAUUGCGAAGGUUGUGGAGUGGAUCAUGCUACUAUACGCUGCCCUUCUGCUUAUAUACAUGUCAAUCAGCUUGAGGAGGCGAGUUAUUCGCAGAACUUCUAGAAAUAGCAAAACAACCCAUACUUCAACAUAUAUCAUUCGGAUAAGAGAAACCAUCCAAACUUUUCAUGGUCUACCAAUCGGGGACAAGGACAUGUAUGAAACAAUAAGAAUAAAUCACCAGGGUUCCAACAACAGCAACAGCAACAACUACAAACGAGAAAGUCACCGUUUGAAGAUUUGUUAGUUCAAUAUAUUACAAAGACUGAAACCAAUUUUUAGAAUCGAUAUGCUUCUAUUAAGAAUUUAGAACAUCGGGUAAGAUAGAUAGCAGCUGCAAUAGCUCAUAGACCACAGGGUACAUCGCCUAACAACACAUGGAAAAACUCACGCAAUCAAGUACUAGUAGUUGAGGGGGUGAGUUCUGAAUCUAAAGAGUCACCAUCAUUCAUCAUGGCCACUCAGGUUCAGGCUAUCACCACUAGAGUGUGGUUCAGCUACUGGAUAUUAUUACAAGGAGAAACAAAAUUGAAGAUACUCGGGUAUCUACGAAGGGCAAGGAACAAGUGGAAUAUUAUGAAGGAUUAACAGAGAAUGAUCAGCACUUGCCGAAAGGUAGUCCAUAUGUUGAGGUAGAAGUUCCAGUCAAAGCACUUGCACACCUAGUCCUAUUUCCUCAAAGGUUGAAAUAUACCAAAUUGGUGAAGCAGUUCACAAAAUUCUUGGAAGUCCUUGGAACUCUGCAUGUCAACGUCACUUUCAUUGGCGCAAUACUUCAAAUUCUAAACUACUUCAAGUUCUUGAAGGAGAUGUUGAAUAAGAAGAAGAAGUUGCUUGAGCAUGAAACAAAAAAUUUAUCUGAAAAAUGUAACGGGAUUAUUCAGUGUAGGAUCCCUUCUAAACUUAAAGAUGUAGAGAGUUUCACUCUACCUUACUCCAUAGAAAAUUCAUAAGGUAUUAAUUGUUUAAUUGAUUCAAUAGCAAGUAUUAACUUAAUUCCCUUGUCUCUUUACAGGAAAUUAUGAUUGGGAGAUUCCAAGACUAUUUCUAUCAUCCUUCAAUUGGCGGAUAGAUCGCUGAAAUACCCUUACAAAAUAGUUGAAAACAUGCUUAUCAAGGUGUGGGAGUUUAUUUUUGCAGCUACUUCACCAUCCUUGAUAUACAAGAGGCAUAUCAGAUGCCAAUAAUCCUAAAAAGACCGCUUUUGUCUACAAGUCUAGCUUUGCUGGAUUUUGAUCUAAUGAGAUAGUCCUGAUUGUAGAGAAUAAGCAAUAAAGCUUCAUAAUGGAAAACCAAUCAAGUAAUUCUCACCCAGAUAAAUGUGGAAUUGUUGAUAGGGACAUUGAUGGAAACUUGAUUUUGUGGAAGAUGAAAGAUGAAAGAAGGAAGUGCAAUCAAUACAUAUAAUGCAGAGUUGAAAAUUCCCUUUUCAAGCCAGUAUGAAGAGCCUAAAAGUAACAGGAGUCGAACCAAGGACUUUAAACAGCGC